ACAUUUUUCUCCAUGAAGAGAUGAUUACACUAGUCUGCAACCAAAAAACUGCAUAGGAUUUUUUGACUGUUUCUUAUAGAUUUUUACAUACUGAAACUGGGAAAAAUAUUUAAAAUUUUCUGUCACAUCAGGUUUUCUUGCAAAACUCAAGUGUUUAGUGUAAUUAAGCAUAAAAUUUGCCUUUUUAAACUGAAAUCUGGUAUCCUAUUCUUGAGCCAAAAAAACCAUAUCCAAUAAUAAUUAAGAAUGAGUAUAAACAAGCCUGCUAUCAGAUUUGUUUGCCUUAAUCCCCAGCAAGAAGAAUGUCAUAAAUACAAAAUUGGUUCCACCUGAAAAGGUUUUAUUACCACCUCUUCAUAUAAAAUUAGGGGUUAUGAAGCAGUUUAUUAAAUCACUGCCUAAAGAUGGGGAAUGCUUCAGAUAUGUA
rnacentral:lncRNA from 1 species